rnacentral:rRNA from 1 species
AACGAACGUUGGCGGCGUGGAUUAGGCAUGCAAGUCGAACGAAUCCCACCUGGGCAACUGGGUGGGGGAAGUGGCGAAAGGGGCAGUAAGGCGUGGGUAACCUGCCCCGGGGUUGGGGAUAGCCCCUCUAACGAGGGGGUAAUACCCGAUGUCCUGGCGAGGGGGUAACCUCUUGUCAAGAAAGCUCAGGCGCCCCGGGAGGGGCCCACGUGGUAUUAGCUAGUUGGUGGGGUAACGGCCCACCAAGGCCAAGAUGCCUAGCAGGUGUGAGAGCACGACCUGCGCCACUGGCACUGGGACACUGGCCAGACUCCUACGGGAGGCUGCAGUCGAGGAUCUUCGGCAAUGGGCGCAAGCCUGACCGAGCGACGCCGCGUGUGCGAUGAAGGCCUUCGGGUUGUAAAGCACUGUCGAGGGGGAGAAAGGCCGCAAGGCGUGAUCGACCCCUGGAGGAAGCACGGGCUAAGUUCGUGCCAGCAGCCGCCGUAAAAC